UCGAGAAUAACUCACAAUGGGGGCGACCCUGAUGGUGCAACGCCGCGUGGAGGAUGACGGUCUUCGGAUUGUAAACUCCUGUCAUCUGGGAGUAAGACCUGGCUGUGAAUAGCAGACAGGGUUGAUAGUACCAGAAGAGGAAGGGACGGCUAACUUCGUGCCAGCAGCCGCGGUAAUACGAAGGUCUCAAGCGUUGUUCGGAAUCACUGGGCGUAGAGGGAGCGUAGGCGGCGUGGUAAGUCAGAUGUGAAAUCCCGGGGCUCAACCCCGGAACUGCAUCCGAUACUGCCAUGCUAGAGGAUUGGAGAGGUAGCUGGAAUUCUUGGUGUAGCAGUGAAAUGCGUAGAGAUCAAGAGGAACACUCGUGGCGAAAGCGAGCUACUGGACAAUUCCUGACGCUGAGGCUCGAAGGCUAGGGUAGCGAAAGGGAUUAGAUACCCCUGUAGUCCUAGCAGUAAACGGUGCACGCUUGGU
rnacentral:rRNA from 1 species